rnacentral:rRNA from 1 species
UUAAAUUGAAGAGUUUGAUCAUGGCUCAGAUUGAACGCUGGCGGCAGGCCUAACACAUGCAAGUCGAACGGUAACAGAAAGCAGCUUGCUGCUUUGCUGACGAGUGGCGGACGGGUGAGUAAUGUCUGGGAAACUGCCCGAUGGAGGGGGAUAACUACUGGAAACGGUAGCUAAUACCGCAUAACGUCGCAAGACCAAAGAGGGGGACCUUCGGGCCUCUUGCCAUCGGAUGUGCCCAGAUGGGAUUAGCUAGUAGGUGGGGUAAAGGCUCACCUAGGCGACGAUCCCUAGCUGGUCUGAGAGGAUGACCAGCCACACUGGAACUGAGACACGGUCCAGACUCCUACGGGAGGCAGCAGUGGGGAAUAUUGCACAAUGGGCGCAAGCCUGAUGCAGCCAUGCCGCGUGUAUGAAGAAGGCCUUCGGGUUGUAAAGUACUUUCAGCGGGGAGGAAGGGAGUAAAGUUAAUACCUUUGCUCAUUGACGUUACCCGCAGAAGAAGCACCGGCUAACUCCGUGCCAGCAGCCGCGGUAAUACGGAGGGUGCAAGCGUUAAUCGGAAUUACUGGGCGUAAAGCGCACGCAGGCGGUUUGUUAAGUCAGAUGUGAAAUCCCCGGGCUCAACCUGGGAACUGCAUCUGAUACUGGCAAGCUUGAGUCUCGUAGAGGGGGGUAGAAUUCCAGGUGUAGCGGUGAAAUGCGUAGAGAUCUGGAGGAAUACCGGUGGCGAAGGCGGCCCCCUGGACGAAGACUGACGCUCAGGUGCGAAAGCGUGGGGAGCAAACAGGAUUAGAUACCCUGGUAGUCCACGCCGUAAACGAUGUCGACUUGGAGGUUGUGCCCUUGAGGCGUGGCUUCCGGAGCUAACGCGUUAAGUCGACCGCCUGGGGAGUACGGCCGCAAGGUUAAAACUCAAAUGAAUUGACGGGGGCCCGCACAAGCGGUGGAGCAUGUGGUUUAAUUCGAUGCAACGCGAAGAACCUUACCUGGUCUUGACAUCCACGGAAGUUUUCAGAGAUGAGAAUGUGCCUUCGGGAACCGUGAGACAGGUGCUGCAUGGCUGUCGUCAGCUCGUGUUGUGAAAUGUUGGGUUAAGUCCCGCAACGAGCGCAACCCUUAUCCUUUGUUGCCAGCGGUCCGGCCGGGAACUCAAAGGAGACUGCCAGUGAUAAACUGGAGGAAGGUGGGGAUGACGUCAAGUCAUCAUGGCCCUUACGACCAGGGCUACACACGUGCUACAAUGGCGCAUACAAAGAGAAGCGACCUCGCGAGAGCAAGCGGACCUCAUAAAGUGCGUCGUAGUCCGGAUUGGAGUCUGCAACUCGACUCCAUGAAGUCGGAAUCGCUAGUAAUCGUGGAUCAGAAUGCCACGGUGAAUACGUUCCCGGGCCUUGUACACACCGCCCGUCACACCAUGGGAGUGGGUUGCAAAAGAAGUAGGUAGCUUAACCUUCGGGAGGGCGCUUACCACUUUGUGAUUCAUGACUGGGGUGAAGUCGUAACAAGGUAACCGUAGGGGAACCUGCGGUUGGAUCACCUCCUUACCUUAAAGAAGC